CGUUACUUUAAACGAUUCGAGGCGCAGUAUGUUCGCUUUCUUGCCCGAAUUUAAAAGCAAAAUUGACGAAGAAAUGUUGAAUUCUCAAGCUGAAGUGAAACUCAAAGGUAUCUAUAUUCUCUUUCAUGUAAAAUGUUCAUAGUUUGACGAGUAAAAGUGCUUCAAACUACUUGUUGAAGUUGACGACCGCACUGAGCUAGUCGCUCGGCCAAAUAUGUCGCAUUCGAUUUCGUUGUCCUUGCCUAAAUACUCUGAAUUUAUUAGCCUUGCUUUUCGCUCUCUUUAGGGUAAUUUAGUAUUAAAGCGUUUUGAUAAAAUAUUCAUGGUGUUUAGGAGCUAAACUUGUUUUAAAAUGUUGCCGUUUUUAGUGUGAACAAGCCUGGAUUCUUGACGACGUGGUGAAAGGGCGAAGUAAAAUCGAUGUCCGUAUGACCGUAUGGAUUUUAAUUAAACGGCAUAUUAAACAAGAAGUGUGGACGUUUCAAGGGAAAGUAAAAGACUUGACUGAGGUAAUUACUUUAUAUUUCAUUUAAAGCAUAAUCGCCGGCCGAGUAGAUUGACUUUACGGCAAACGUCAAACUGCUAACGAAAUGUUUGAUUUCAGUUACUCUAUUAUUAUAACAGCUUUUACACCAGUUUUGAAAAAUAUAUUAAUUAAACAAUUAUUAACUUGCGGUAUUUAACAAUGAUUCAAGAAAACAAAUUAACCACUAGUCAUGUAUUCACAAAGCAGUAAAUUAAGUUUAAAAUUAAGUUAAUUAAAUAAAAUUUAUACCGUACGCCAAUCAUUGCUAAAGAGCACAAGUUUAAUAAUUGUUUAAUAUAUUUCAACACUGGUGUAGGUAUAGGUAAUAGCAUGGUUUCGAGUGCAAUUUGGAUAUAACAUGCACAAGUGAGUUUUUCAAAGACCUCAAAAUAGCACAAGUCCGAAGGACUCAAUCCAUCCCUGAUAGAGUUGUAAUAUCAAACACUUUGUUAGCGGUUUGACAUUUGCCAUAAACGACAAUCUAAAGGUCUCUAAUAUAUAUAGUUUCACAUCAAGCCUGUAGCUGAGUGGGGGGCACCCCUAUCCGGAAAUAGGCACUGCUAAAUUUUUCAACUGUGCCGUCUAGAAAUAGAGAGCCAGCUACAGGGUUAUUUCAUGUGUCAAAAUUGAAGACCGCAAGUUGCUUUGCCGACGAGAUUCUUCCUGUACGUCCUGGCAUAAGAAUUAAAAACAUUGGCAUUGCAUGCUUCUCGUUAUAUUCAGUUGAAAUAUUUACAGUGUUUCGUAGUUAAAUUUGUUUUGAAAUUUGUUGCUUCUGACAAUUGUUUGUUUUUAACUUUCUUUAAUUUUACCUUUAGAUUGCAAGGAUCAAAACAAAAAUGUGCAUCGUUGGAGCACCCAAUAUACCCCACACUGUGCUAGGCAGUCAAGCUUUUUUAACCUACACAUUUUUUAUUUUGAUUGCCCAUUUUUAUUGUUUUUUUGUUCAUAUCAUGACGCAUGACUUUAUAUAAUGACAGAAGGAGUUGAGAGCCCCACUCGACUGCAUGCCUUCUGGUAAUUGUUAGACUCUGUUUUACAUGCUACCAUUUCACCACAUAGAAUUAUAUUGAGA
rnacentral:lncRNA from 1 species